rnacentral:rRNA from 1 species
GCAAUACCUCUCCCUCGAGUACUAUGUAUUCAUAUACCACUUGUAUGUUGUCGAAUGUGAUCAAUGGGCUUAUAUGCCUAUAAUAAUCAUAUACAACUUUCAGCAACGGAUCUCUUGGCUCUCGCAUCGAUGAAGAACGCAGCGAAAUGCGAUAAGUAAUGUGAAUUGCAGAAUUCAGUGAAUCAUCGAAUCUUUGAACGCACCUUGCGCUCCUUGGUAUUCCGAGGAGCAUGCCUGUUUGAGUGUCAUUAAAUUCUCAACCCUCCAGCUUUUGCGAGUUGUGAUGGGCUUGGAUAUGGGGGUCUGCGGGCCUUUAUCAAGAGGUCGGCUCUCCUGAAAUACAUUAGCGGAACCGUUUGCAGUCCCGUCACUAGUGUGAUAAUUAUCUACACUGUGAUGAUUGCUCUCUGACUAGUUCAGCUGCUAAUAGUCCCUCGUUGGACAACAUUAAUGAACUUCUUGACCUCAAAUCAGGUAGGACUACCCGCUGAACUUAAGCAUAUCAAUAAGCGGAGGA